AGCUUUCACCUCCAGCUUUUUCCACAUCGGGAUUCACAGGCACUUUAGCACCCCAGCCAUGGUUUACAAUACAGGAUGUUCAGAACAAUGAAGGAAGAUGGGAGCCACCGAGAUCCCCGAGACCCACACACACACUCUAAUACUGACGCGAGAGUGAGCUUCCUGCCACCACCGCUGUGGGACCCGAAAAUGUUCUCUGUGUGAUGUGUAACGGCUUUUCCUUUGUCUUUUAUGUUUCAUGGCAGAACUACUUAGGAGCGCGGCAUCGCCAGUCAGACAUGCAGUGUGUGGAUGCAUUAGACAAGCAUCAAUUGCCUCUGACUUGAAAAACCGUAGAGAGCAGAUCAAAAUGACUGUCUGGUUUAUCUCUGUCCCAUUCUGUGCCCUUCCUGACAAGCUGUCAGAACAAAAACUAAUUAAAAUAAUUACUAGGAUGUACUGGGCCAUGAGCUCUUCCUAGGAGAAUUUCUUUCUUAGCUCUCCCCUCAUGAUAGACACAGGGCCAAUGGCAGGCCCAGCUUCCCCCGGCAGGAGCCACUCCUGUCUCCCACGUUCCCCACACAGAGCUGUGGUGACUCAACCCACGUGUCAGGAACAGGACCGAACAAGCGUAUGUAUAAACGCAGACCAGGAUCAUCACUUUAUUGGUAAUGUUGAGUCAUAAGGCAGUUACAAAAGGACCCCCAUGGUGACCAAACAAUGUUGGACUAUGGCUUAGCUUCUGUAAUAGGAUGACCGACUCUCCCGUCACAAAGAGCUGAGAAAGGAAAGAGAAAACCACAGUGAUGACAAAGUACGACAAAUGGCUGUGCUGUGAAGUACCAGAAAGCCCCAAUUUUUGGUGUAUGUCGCCCACUUUUCCUCCACCAGAGACUAAGAUGUCAUCCCAUAGCUAAGAGAACUUAGAGGGAGAAACAGGGCCGCACGUCAUCCUCCACUUCAGGUGAAUUUGUCACUGCAAGUGGUGCAGGGAUGUUACAACCAAGCCGCGGACAACUCAUGAGUAGGGCCGAGAUUCCUGGUACUGUGGAGAGGCGCAGAGCAUAUGAACACCUCAAACAGAUGAUUGUCACAGGGUGGGAAAUCCUUCCAUGAAACAGACACUUGAGACAUAGUGGCAAAGACAUUAAGGCCUUCCAUUUCUUUGCCUACACCGCUUAAAGGCACUGAUACCAACAACAG
rnacentral:lncRNA from 1 species